GAGCAGCAAAUAUAUUUCCAUCUUCCUUUCUCUUUCACAGCUUUGAUGGAGCCCAAGGUGAAGCCGUGGUGGGCACAGAGCAGCUCCAUGACAGGGUCUGCAUUGCUGCUUGGUUUCUAAAGAUGGAACAACUGCUUUGGAAACCCCAACAAGGAGAGGGUUGUCUAGAUAAUACCCCUGGAAUACCAGGAAAAGUUCUGUUUGCUGUCCUGUCACAUCCUUACCCCUACCUGAGCACUGAUGUGAAGCACCAAUCUGGGUUUGGUCCCCAUCCUGAAGGAAUGGUGCUCCUUCAGCUCAUGUACCAAAGAGAGCAGGAUGGACUGGAGGGACAUGGAGCUGUUGGAGUGAGUCCAGAGGAGGCCCCCAAGGUGAUCAGAGGGAUGGAGCAGCUCUGCUCUGAGGAAAGGCUGGGAAAGUUGGGAUUGUUCAGCCUGGAGAAGAGGGGCUUCAGAGUGAGCUAAUUUUGUCCUUUCGGUACUUGAAGGGAGCCUGUGAGAGAAAUAAAGAGACACUGUUUACAAGGACUUGGAGGGACAGGACAAUUGGGAAUGGCUUCAAACUGAAAGAGAAUACAUUUCGAUUGGGGUAUUGGGAAAAAAUUCUUCCCUGUGAGGAUGGGCAGGCCCUGGAACAGGGUGCCCAGAGCAGCUGUGGCUGCCCCUGGAUCCCUGGAAGUGCCCAAGGCCAGGUUGGAUGGGGCUUGGAGCAACCUGGGACACUGGAGGGUGUCCCUGCCCAUGAUAAGAAUGAGAUGAUCUUUAAGGUCCCUCCAACCCCAACCUUCUCUGAUUCUCUCAUUCUAUGAGACCUCAUAGCCUGGAGUCCCCCUCUGAAUAAAACCAACAUGGCAAAGGUGGCUGCAGGCUGCUGAGCUAGAGGGAGGGAAGGUCUCAGCUGAU
rnacentral:lncRNA from 12 species